UACAGAGGAGCCAAGCGUUGUCCGGAUUGACUGGGCGUAAAGCGCACGCAGGCGGUUUGGCGCGUGGGGUGUGAAAUCUGGCCGCUUAACGGCCAGGCGCCAUCCCAUACGGCUAGACUGGAGUGAUGCGGAGGUCGGUGGAAUUGCCGGUGUAGUGGUGAAAUGCGUAGAGAUCGGCAGGAACACCCAGGGGGAAACCAGCCGACUGGGCAUCGACUGACGCUGAGGCGCGAAAGCUAGGGGAGCAAACGGG
rnacentral:rRNA from 1 species